rnacentral:rRNA from 16 species
AGUUAGGGUUACCCGCUGAACUUAAGCAUAUCAUUAAGCGGAGGAAAAGAAACUAACCAGGAUUCCCUUAGUAACGGCGAGCGAACCGGGAAUAGCCCACCCAUGAAGUAGUAGUUGUGCCAAUAACGCAGCAGGUACUACUCUUUGGGGCGCAAGGUGUGACGCGGUGAUGAACCCAGUUUAGCUUUUGGUGAAAUAGUCUUGAAUGCUAUAGCCAGAGAAGGUGACAGCCCUGUAACCAAAGCUGCG